rfam:Bacillus glycinifermentans strain GO-13 contig_29, whole genome shotgun sequence.
GUUUUCCACUAGGGGAGUCCUUCAUAAGGGCUGAGAUAAAAGUGUGACUUUUAGACCCUCAUAACCUGAACAGGUUCAGACCUGCGUAGGGAAGUGGCAAGGUAUUUGA